UGCCAGCCGCCGCGGUAAUACGGAGGGUGCAAGCGUUAUCCGGAAUCACUGGGUUUAAAGGGUACGCAGGCGGUUUUAUAAGUCAGACGUCAAAGGCUGUGGCUAAACCACGGUACGCGUUUGAAACUGUAAGACUUGAAUCUAUUCGAAGUACAUGGAAUGCGUCAUGUAGCGGUGAAAUGCAUAGAUAUGACGUAGAACACCAAAAGCGAAGGCAGUGUACUAGACCUUUAUUGACACUGAGGCACGAAAGCGUGGGGAGCGAACAGGAUUAGAUA
rnacentral:rRNA from 1 species